AAAGGCCAGCGAUACAGGGUGAUAGCCCCGUACAUGAAAACGACCUUGAAGUGAAAUCGAGUAGGGCGGGACACGUGACAUCCUGUCUGAAUAUGGGGGGACCAUCCUCCAAGGCUAAAUACUCCUGACUGACCGAUAGUGAACCAGUACCGUGAGGGAAAGGCGAAAAGAACCCUGUGAGGGGAGUGAAAUAGAACCUGAAACCGUGUACGUACAAGCAGUGGGAGCCCUUCGGGGUGACUGCGUACCUUU
rnacentral:rRNA from 1 species